rnacentral:misc_RNA from 1 species
UUUUUUUUUUGAUCAUCACAAAAAUAAACUAGCGAGUCCCCUAAUGUUUAACUGUUCAUUAAAAUUUGAGUCCCUACCAAAUAAUACAGGCUUGUUUCAAAACAGAACAAAGAAGGGGAAAAAUGAAAUUUUACAUAGUCAAAAUGCAGCAAUAGAAUAACACAAGCGUUCCCAAUGCUAUUACUCAUUAUCCUUUGCUCCAUUUACCAGAGCAAAAACAAGA